rnacentral:rRNA from 1 species
AUUGAACGCUGGCGGCAUGCCUUACACAUGCAAGUCAAACGGUAACAGGUCUUCGGACGCUGACGAGUGGCGAACGGGUGAGUAAUACAUCGGAACGUGCCCAGUCGUGGGGGAUAACUACUCGAAAGAGUAGCUAAUACCGCAUACGAUCUGAGGAUGAAAGCGGGGGACCUUCGGGCCUCGCGCGAUUGGAGCGGCCGAUGGCAGAUUAGGUAGUUGGUGGGAUAAAAGCUUACCAAGCCGACGAUCUGUAGCUGGUCUGAGAGGACGACCAGCCACACUGGGACUGAGACACGGCCCAGACUCCUACGGGAGGCAGCAGUGGGGAAUUUUGCACAAUGGGCGCAAGCCUGAUGCAGCCAUGCCGCGUGUAUGAAGAAGGCCUUCGGGUUGUAAAGUACUUUCAGCGAGGAGGAAGGCGUUGUGGUUAAUAACCGCAACGAUUGACGUUACUCGCAGAAGAAGCACCGGCUAACUCCGUGCCAGCAGCCGCGGUAA